rnacentral:rRNA from 1 species
GUGGGGAAUAUUCCGCAAUGGACGAAAGUCUGACGGAGCAACGCCGCGUGAGUGAUGAAGGUUUUCGGACUGUAAAGCUCUGUUGUUUAGGACGAAAGUGCCUGUUGCAAAUAGUUACAGGUAUUGACGGUACUGAACGAGGAAGCCACGGCUAACUACGUGCCAGCAGCCGCGGUAAUACGUAGGUGGCAAGCGUUGUCCGGAAUUAUUGGGCGUAAAGAGCAUGUAGGCGGGAAUCUAAGUCUGUUGUGAAAAUGCGGGGCUCAACCCCGUAUUGCGAUGGGAAACGGGGUUCUUGGGGGCAAGAGAGGGAAGGGGAAAUCCCAGUGGAAGGGUGAAAUGCGUAGAUAUUGGGAAGAACAACAGUGGCGAAGGCGCCUUUCUGGACUGUGUCUGACGCUGAGAUGCGAAAGCCAGGGUAGCGAACGGGAUUAGAUACCCGGGUAGUCC